rnacentral:rRNA from 1 species
CCCGGUCCGUCAGCAGCGGAUCGUGCGCUGGGUAUAUCCUAAUUCAGAAAAUCGGGAAAAAUUUUUUUCUCUGAAUCUUUAUUUAAUAUAUAAAUUUUAUAUAUAUUUAAGACUUCCGAGCGCCGCGGUUAACUUUAACGGGCAGUCGACUUCUUAAGACGAAUUUAUAUAUAAGCGGAUAAGAUAUAUUACUUAUCCCUAUAUGUAUUUAAUCACUAUCUUUUUAUUUAAAGUAGAAUUUAAUUUUUAAAGCAAGUAAGAUUUUAACUAUAUCGAUAAUAGGUGUAAUAAAUAAAAUUAACAUUUUCUAGUCGAAAAGGGCCUUUGGGCCUUUUUUGGCAUCGCGCCUUUUCAAGGAGUGAUGUUUUUUGCGGCUUCGCGAGGAUUAGAAUAUGUAAUAUAUAUUUAAAGUUGCUAAAAUCCAAGACUUCAAUCUUGUGAAUAGUGAUUUUGAUAAUUACUCGUCAAGUUUAAUGGCAUAAUCUUGCUUAACUGUCUGACCUACGCGUCUAUCAGUCGCGUAAGCGGGGCAUACGAUCGCGAAAUACAUAAAGGAUUGGUUUCGUAUUAUAGAUAAAAGUUACGCUAGGGAUAAAAGUUACGCGAGGCAUAAUCUUCUGCGGAAC